rnacentral:lncRNA from 1 species
AAGUAUCAUAUUUUUAACAUAUUUAAAACACAUGAAAUGAAGCACAUAAAAUCAUAAUUUGCUCAAGAGUGUCAUGCUCAUGAUGCUUAUGCUUGAUGGAAUGCUUAUGCAGGGCUUUGGUGAGACUAAGUGCAUGCUUAACACCUAGGGGGUUACAGCCCUUCCCCCCUUAGGGAAAUCUCGUCCCGAGAUUUUGGGUUACUAACCAUUUCUUGUGAAAUUUUGGAUAAACUGUUUUUAAGUAAUCCUCUGUUUCCCAGGUGGCAUCCCUAUCGUCAUGAUGACUCCACACCACUUUAUAAGUUCUGACAACUUUGUUUCGGGUUACUCGCUCCUUGGUAUCCACAAUCUCCACUGGCUGCUCCUUAUACUCUAGGUCUGCUUUUAUCUUGAUCCCUCGAGGUUCAACUCUUUGCUCAGGCACUUUCAAACAUUUCCGUAGUUGCGACACAUGGAAGACCGGAAAGAUCGAGCUCAUCUCUUCAGGUAACUGAAUCUUAUAGGCCACUGGGCCUUUCCUCUCUAGCACUUGGUAAGUCUCCUAACCCGAGGCUUGCUUCUAAGAUUCUUCAGUAAUUCGACUUCUAAUACUAGUAAGUUCUUGUUUUAUUGUUCUUUGGUUUAUGAGUUUACUUUAAUCCUCUUCCGGUUGAGUAUUAGAGUAAUCACUUGUUAGCGUAAACGUGGUGUUUAGGCUAGGGUACUCAUAGAUAUCCCCUGACUAGCUGGACCGUGGU